CCUACGGGCGGCAGCAGUAGGGAAUUUUUCACAAUGGGCGAAAGCCUGAUGGAGCAACGCCGCGUGCAGGAUGAAGGCCUUCGGGUUGUAAACUGCUUUUAUAAGCGAGAAAUAUGAUGGUAACUUAUGAAUAAGGAUCGGCUAACUACGUGCCAGCAGCCGCGGUCAUACGUAGGAUCCGAGCAUUAUCCGGAGUGACUGGGUGUAAAGAGUUGCGUAGGUGGCAUAAUAAGUAGCUAGUGAAAGCUGGUGGCUCAACCAUUCAGACUAUUAGCUAAACUGUUAAGCUCGAGACCGUUAGGGGUAACUGGAAUUUCUAGUGUAGGAGUGAAAUCCGUAGAUAUUAGAAGGAACACCAAUAGCGUAGGCAGGUUGCUGGGACGGUUCUGACACUAAGGCACGAAAGCGUAGGGAGCAAACGGGAUUAGAUACCCCGGUAGUC
rnacentral:rRNA from 1 species